rnacentral:rRNA from 1 species
AUUGAACGCUGGCGGCAUGCCUUACACAUGCAAGUCGAACGGCAGCACGGGUGCUUGCACCUGGUGGCGAGUGGCGAACGGGUGAGUAAUACAUCGGAACAUGUCCUGUAGUGGGGGAUAGCCCGGCGAAAGCCGGAUUAAUACCGCAUACGAUCUACGGAUGAAAGCGGGGGACCUUCGGGCCUCGCGCUAUAGGGUUGGCCGAUGGCUGAUUAGCUAGUUGGUGGGGUAAAGGCCUACCAAGGCGACGAUCAGUAGCUGGUCUGAGAGGACGACCAGCCACACUGGGACUGAGACACGGCCCAGACUCCUACGGGGGGCAGCAGUGGGGAAUUUUGGACAAUGGGCGAAAGCCUGAUCCAGCAAUGCCGCGUGUGUGAAGAAGGCCUUCGGGUUGUAAAGCACUUUUGUCCGGAAAGAAAUCCUUGGCCCUAAUACGGUCGGGGGAUGACGGUACCGGAAGAAUAAGCACCGGCUAACUACGU